UGGAGAAUCUUGCACAAUGGGCGAAAGCCUGAUGCAGCCAUGCCGCGUGCGGGAAGAAGGCCUUCGGGUUGUAAACCGCUUUCAGGAGGGAAGAAGCGCAAGUGACGGUACCUCCAGAAGAAGCCCCGGCCAACUACGUGCCAGCAGCCGCGGUAAUACGUAGGGGGCAAGCGUUGUCCGGAAUCAUUGGGCGUAAAGAGCGUGUAGGCGGCCCAGUAAGUCGGAUGUGAAAGCCCGAGGCUCAACUUCGGAAAUGCAUUCGGUACUGCUGGGCUUGAGGAAGGUAGAGGAGAGUGGAAUUCCCGGUGUAGCGGUGGAAUGCGCAGAUAUCGGGAGGAACACCAGCGGCGAAGGCGGCUCUCUGGGCCUCUCCUGACGCUGAGACGCGAAAGCGUGGGUAGCAAACAGG
rnacentral:rRNA from 1 species